UACAGAGGGGGCAAGCGUUGUUCGGAAUUACUGGGCGUAAAGGGCGCGUAGGCGGCCUGUUAAGUCGAACGUGAAAUCCCCGGGCUCAACCCGGGAACUGCGUCCGAUACUGGCAGGCUUGAAUUCGGGAGAGGGGUGCAGAAUUCCAGGUGUAGCGGUGAAAUGCGUAGAUAUCUGGAGGAAUACCGGUGGCGAAGGCGGCAUCCUGGACCGACAUUGACGCUGAAGAGCGAAAGCUAGGGGAGCAAACGGG
rnacentral:rRNA from 1 species